AUGGUAUCCAUUGAUGCCCCUCCUGUCACUAUUCAGAAAGGAACUUGCAUUGCUCAACUUAUACCUUUUGUGAGUUCUGUUCCAAAUACAGUGGACCGAAGUCGCGGCACAGGAAGCUUUGGAUCGACAGGAGAACCUCAAGUGUUUUGGACUGAGAAAGUAACAGAGAGCCGUCCAGAAAAGACAUGCACUCUCACCGCCAGUGGAUGUCAUCCAGGAACUAUAUCAGUAACAGGGCUGGAAUGCACAGGUAUCCAUGAAACCACUUCAAAUGGUAUUGUGGGAUGUGAUAUUGACUUCCAUGAGGAUCCCUAUGGGAAAAAUGUCCUCUCUGGAGGAACCACCAUGUGUAUCCUGGGAUUUGGGAUCAUGUGCAGAAGGAGAGGACAGUUUGCCUCCAAGUACAAUGAAGAUUAAGUAAAGCUCCUGAUUUCUCUGCAAAUCUACAGCCAGAAAGUCUGGGCAGAGGUGCUGAACCUUGUCUAGAGUGUGACAGUGUGGCCAAGUCUCCAUCACACUGACCAGUGUGCAAGGCAGAGGAGUGAAAACCACCCAAAUUCCACAUCCCUCUGUGCUGGUUUCACAGGACAUUCCAGAAAACAACAGUCCUGGCACAGAGAAGACCAGAACUGUAACGUGGUGACAACAAGCAGUGAAAGGUGCAAGCUUUGAGGUGAAUUAAAUUUGUGAAGGUGGAAGCUGAGCCUGGCAACGUGAGGAGCUGCUGUGGAGGAGAAUGAGAUUAACAGGGUAAAAUAUUUCCUGUUUAAGGUUGGCCUCAGGCAAGAACGAGUUUGUCAGUGUAAUAUGUUGUUGAAUUUUAAUAUGGAAAUGUCUCCUGGCAUGUAUUUCAAACACACUACAAAUAGUGAUAUUGAUCUAACCUUCAAUUAAUGGGAGAGGUCCUCUGUGAAAAUCGGAUCUGGGUUUGAAUGGCAAAUAGCUUUAAUAUUCUGAGGACAGUGGAUCAUUUGCACAGCUCAGUAAGAGACUAUAAAUCACCAUGAUUAG
rnacentral:lncRNA from 1 species